GACGUAGGGCGCGAGCGUUGUCCGGAUUUAUUGGGCGUAAAGAGCUCGUAGGCGGCUCGUUGCGUCGGCUGUGAAAACCCGGAGCUCAACUCCGGGCCUGCAGUCGAUACGGGCAAACUGGAGUGUUGCAGGGGAGACUGGAAUUCCGCGUGUAGCAGUGAAAUGCGUAGAUAUGCGGAGGAACACCGAUGGCGAAGGCAAUCCCCUGGGCCUGCACUGACGCUCAUGCACGAAAGCGUGGGGAGCAAACAGG
rnacentral:rRNA from 1 species